UACGAGGGGGGCAAGCGUUGUUCGGAAUUAUUGGGCGUAAAGGGCGCGUAGGCUGCGGGGCAAGUCGGGUGUGAAAUCUCAGGGCUCAACCCUGAAACUGCACUCGAUACUGCUCUGCUUGAGGACUGGAGAGGAGACUGGAAUUCACGGUGUAGCAGUGAAAUGCGUAGAUAUCGUGAGGAAGACCAGUGGCGAAGGCGGGUCUCUGGACAGUUCCUGACGCUGAGGCGCGAAGGCCAGGGGAGCAAACGG
rnacentral:rRNA from 1 species